rnacentral:rRNA from 1 species
AUUGAACGCUGGCGGCAGGCCUAACACAUGCAAGUCGAACGAGUGGCGGACGGGUGAGUAAUGCUUGGGAAACUGGCCGAUGGAGGGGGAUAACUACUGGAAACGGUAGCUAAUACCGCAUACCAUCGGAUGAGCCCAAGUGGGAUUAGGUAGUUGGUGGGGUAAAGGCUCACCAAGGCGACGAUCCCUAGCUGGUCUGAGAGGAUGACCAGCCACACUGGAACUGAGACACGGUCCAGACUCCUACGGGAGGCAGCAGUGGGGAAUAUUGCACAAUGGGCGCAAGCCUGAUGCAGCCAUGCCGCGUGUAUGAAGAAGGCCUUAGGGUUGUAAAGUACUUUCAGCGGGGAGGCGUUACUCGCAGAAGAAGCACCGGCUAACUCCGUGCCAGCAGCCGCGGUAAUUC